UACGGGGGGGGCAAGCGUUGUUCGGAAUUACUGGGCGUAAAGGGCUCGUAGGUGGCCAACUAAGUCAGACGUGAAAUCCCUCGGCUUAACCGGGGAACUGCGUCUGAUACUGGAUGGCUUGAGUUUGGGAGAGGGAUGCGGAAUUCCAGGUGUAGCGGUGAAAUGCGUAGAUAUCUGGAGGAACACCGGUGGCGAAGGCGGCAUCCUGGGCCAACACUGACGCUGAGUGAGCGAAAGCUAGGGGAGCAAACGGG
rnacentral:rRNA from 1 species